GGCGGCAUAGCCAAGUGGUAAGGCAGGGGACUGCAAAUCCUCGACCCCCAGUUCAAAUCCGGGUGUCGCCU
rnacentral:tRNA from 2 species